rnacentral:rRNA from 1 species
CCCCUAGAUGUUCUGGGCCGCACGCGUGCUACACUGACGCCUACAGCGAGUACUUCCCAGCCCCGAGAGGUGGCUGGUAAUCAGCAAUAGGCGUCGUGAUGGGGAUAGAUCUUUGGAAUUAUGGAUCUUGAACGAGGAAUGCCUAGUAAGCGCAGGUCAUUAGCCUGCGCUGAUUAAGUCCCUGCCCUUUGUACACACCGCCCGUCGCUCCUACCGAUUUCGAGUGGUCCGGUGAAUCUUUCGGACUGCGCGCGGCCUCGUGCCGUGUCGCGGAAAGUCAGGUAAACCUUAUCACUUAGAGGAAGGAGAAGUCGUAACA